AGAAGUAUUGAUCAUUAAUGAAACAUAUCACUGUUUAUUCCCAGGAAUCUUUCAAAGAAGUAUCAACCCAAGAAGAACUCGGAGGACGAAUACAAGUACACAUCAUGCCGGGCCUUCCUGACGACCUUGAACGAGAUGAACGACUACGCCGGCCAACAUGAGGUCAUCGCUGAGAACUUAUCAGUCCAGAUCAUCAGCGAGCUGUCACGAUACACCCAGGAGCUCAAGCAGGAGCGCAAAUCGCAUUUCAAUGAUGGUCGCAAGGCGCAGCAACACAUCGAGAACUCGUGGAAACAGCUAGAAUCGGUAA